CCGAGGGCGGGGCGCACGGACGUUUCCGGGGAGCGGCAGGUGAGGCCGUAGGGGUUGCGAGGAGGCUUCGCGUCCCAGGGAAGCGGGCGGAAGAGGAACCUGCAGUGGGCCUCCCCUGCCGAAGCCGGACGUGGGCUCUCCCUGUUGCCGCAGAUACACCUGACUGCCUCCUGAGUGCUGGGAUUAAAGGCAGAGUUUAGGUAUUCCAGGUUGACCUGGUACUCGUGAUCCUCCUGCUCAGCUCCAGAGUGUCAGGGUUACAGAAGGCCCACCAUGCUCUGCCUGGGAAGACCUUGAGAAUUAGCUGUUAGAAAACAUUCUGUUUGACCCUGAACCAUGGGCACUGCUUGCCACCCUACCUUCAUCCACUGCUGACAGCUCACUCGUCACCCACUUCUUAGGUAGAAUUAAAUGGAGAUCACUAAAAUUCCAAAUCCCAGGCCAUAUCAUAUGCCACACCUAUGGAAUCUCUAAUUCUGAGGAUGGACCACAGGUAUCAGGAGUGUUUUGAUUCCCCAGGACAUUCCCAUGUGUAGACUUGUUUGGAAACCACUGAUCUGGACACAGCUGUUACAAGACUGUGAGGCAGUACAGAUGUGGCUUGUUUUCUGCCUCUGCCCAGCCUUGCCUGUGGUGCUCUUGCUCCAAACCUGGAAUCAACCAUUGUUUCCCCCUGGAAGCUCUGAUUUCCUUCAGUGUUUCCUUCCUUGAGUUUCUUCCCUGGCUUCCUUGGAUGAUGGACUGCAACCUAUGAUUGUGAUAUAGUCAACCAAGGCUUACCUGCUUCUUCAGCAACUUUCUGGACACUCUCUCAUUGACUACGGGGAUCUUAUUCUGGUCCCUAUCCAGAUUUUGAACAAAUCACAGGCUCUGUUCACCCUUGAGAGGUGAAGACUUCAGAGGGCCUGACCACCAGGGAGUUGCAGUGCACCAUCUUGGGAGUCUACAAUCAGAGUCUGAGUAAUGGAAGGAUAUGAAGACCCUGACUUCAAAGACUCUUGGUGUUAAGGGAGUGUGGAAACCCUAAAGACAGAGGAUAGCAUUUGUCUUAAGAAGAGAUGUCCAGGAACACUGUCCCCUGUUCUUUCCCUGGAGAGAGAAAAGCUGACCUGACCUUCACAGGGAUCAUCAGCUCCUAUGGUUGUCAUGCUUUUCAACAUGGAUGAGUGAUGGUUGACAUCCUCAAGUUUUCUCUUCUGCUCACACUUGAGGUUUUUCUUUUUCUUUUUAAUAAAGGAAACUAAAAGACCCAUG